AUUGAACGCUAGCGGGAUGCUUUACACAUGCAAGUCGAACGGCAGCGCGGACUUCGGUCUGGCGGCGAGUGGCGAACGGGUGAGUAAUGUAUCGGAACGUGCCCAGUAGCGGGGGAUAACUACGCGAAAGCGUAGCUAAUACCGCAUACGCCCUACGGGGGAAAGCAGGGGAUCGUAAGACCUUGCACUAUUGGAGCGGCCGAUAUCGGAUUAGCUAGUUGGUGAGGUAACGGCUCACCAAGGCGACGAUCCGUAGCUGGUUUGAGAGGACGACCAGCCACACUGGGACUGAGACACGGCCCAGACUCCUACGGGAGGCAGCAGUGGGGAAUUUUGGACAAUGAGGGCAACCCUGAUCCAGCCAUCCCGCGUGUGCGAUGAAGGCCUUCGGGUUGUAAAGCACUUUUGGCAGGAAAGAAACGUCGCGGGCUAAUACCCCGUGGAACUGACGGUACCUGCAGAAUAAGCACCGGCUAACUACGUG
rnacentral:rRNA from 1 species